rnacentral:lncRNA from 1 species
CAAGAUUCUCCCCCGCCCCCCAUCCCGCCCCGCAGACCGCAGAGGCCUCAGGGCUCGUGCCAGGUCCGCGGACAGUGGCAAGGGACAAGGGGAGCGAACCGCAGGAACCGCAGGAACCGCAGCCCCGCGGAUGUUGGUGAGGCUGCCUGGAGCUAAAUGCCAGGAAGGAAGGACGCGGGGGCGGGGACGAGGCCCGGGGCUACCUGCCCGAGCUGGUGCCGAUGCUGCCCCAGUAGGCGCGAUGGCUUCACGCCACCUCUGAACACGGAAAGCCCUCAGUAACCCGGUUUCCGACUCGACGCAGUCGGGGCCCCUCAGUAAGCCUGUCCGCCCAGCAAGCCGCGACAGGUGAUGUGGCGACUGGGCAGCGGGGCGUGCAGGUCAGCUGCCUACCUCAGGCGACGGCGUCUCUGAGCCUCCCACCUCCCUCCCAGCGGCGCGAGGACCCCGGGACCAGACUAGGAAGAGGCGUGCGAGGGAUCACGACACUGAGGUAGGGACAGGAAGAGGAACCGUCUGCUCUCCGGAGGGGCUGGCAAAGGGAAGGGAAGGACGCGGAGUGAGGGACCGUCAGGAACGUUCGCAUACCUUUUGCCUGGCUGCGGAUCCCACUGGUGCCAACAGAUCGCCUCACAUCCGGGUAUCCAGAGACACUCAGCUGCUUCUGCCGCGGCCGCCGCCUCCCCGCGGCGCAAACACCAAACUUCCGGCGACGACGGCUACGCCUCUCCCGUCAGAUGGGAGUUACCUGUGACCGUCUUGGGUGCGCUUGCGCAAAGGUCCUCUUCAGCUUUAACCAGCUCAGCUGACGUACCCAGAAGACGAAGAUGGCGGCCACGCUAGUUGCGUGUCACGCAAUUUUUCAUCCCUGCCCCGUCGGCUGGGCGUCGAGGAAAGGCGAGCCAGCGUCCAUCCUCAGCGCAGGCGCGGUGGGAAGCCUCGCGUGCGCGCCUCCGCGGGUGGGCGCCUGGCAGGGAGUGGUGGCGCCCCCUCGCGGCAGCCCCGCGUCCUUUCGGGCCCCCAAGGGUGUAGGUUUCCUUUGGAAAUGGGUUGCAACCGGUUCCUUGUAGGUUUCCAGUAUUUUUAUCUGCCAUUAUCUAGCCCCAAAGUCUUUGAUCUAACAUAGGGGCCAAUAUAAAGAAGCAGAGUGGGAUUAGCUACCUUUCUAUCUCCUUUUCCUGUACUGGACUUUAGCAGGUCUGGAAGGCACAGUUUCCAUCUUGUGCUUUAAAAUACAAGUCUAUAAGAAAUCAUAAAUUCUUGUACUACAUUUAUUCAGGACAGUUGUUCAGACAAAGCUUUGGCUCUUCGAAACCUCUAAAGAUAGAACCCAGGGUUGGUUUUGUCAGUAGGAUUUAUGUUUUCCACACUGCUUUUAAACACACUUUCUGAGCUACCUUUAUUUGCAGAGCUGUGAGAAUAGGUACUCAGAAUAGAAGAGAGGUGAUGAUGCAUGGGUUCUCCCCUUCCUGCCCUCCUUUUCUUGACGCCAAGUACAACCAAAAUGUGCUCUUAAGUUUAUCAAGCCUGAUGCUUUUCUGAAAAUACAUCUUCCACAAGGCUUUAGUGAGCUGCCUGGCUAUUAGUGGAGAGAUUCUAUGGAUUAAGCAUAAUGGUGGAGGCCAUUCCCCACAUUACCAUAGGUUACUGGGCAAAAUCCGGCCCAGUGUCCCGCAGCCCCUCCCCCACCCCGCCCCCUGCAGGCUUUAACGGCUGGUGCUUAAAUUGUGGGGGAAAAGAAGCUCAGGAGUAAACUGGGAAGGUUAGAGCUUGGUAUUUACCUGAUGAUCUGGUCUACAUUUUCCUUCAUCUUUAGAAUUGUCGGACAACUAAUGGAAUUUCUUUUUUGUUGUUGUUGUACCUUUUGCACAGGGGAUUGAACCCAGGGGCACUUUACCACCAACCCUUAAGUUCUUACAUACACACACACAGGCACACGCCAUUUUUACAAGCGUGCAUUCCCCCCAAAAUAGCAAAAAUAGGCAUUUGCUUCUAAGUGAUCUAUUCCACUGUUUCACUUUGUUGUAUUAGUCAAGAAACAUGGGAAUCCUGAUACAUAUGACAAUAUGAAAACAUAUGAAUUUAUUUUUGGUACAGAAGUAGUUGUAUAAUUCAUAUCUACAAUUUUAGAUUUUUUUUUCUAAAAUUAUAUACACUCCUUUUCCUUCUUUCUUUCAUUCUAUUUUUCUUCUUUUAAUUGCGGUACUGUGGAUUGAUUGAAGGACCUUGCAUGGAACUACAUCUUCAGCCCUUCUAAUUUUUUAACUCUUCUCAGUCUGGCCUCCAAUUUAUAAUCCUCCCACCUCACCCUCUCAACUGAAAUUUUACAAGCAUAAGCCACCACACCCAGCUAUAGUCAGUUUCAUGUGUGUACAGUGAAAAAAAAAUAGUUUGCUUUUGGAAAAAAAAAAUAAACUUUGACCAUUACUUUUUAUCAUUUUGAAGAAUAUUUUUCACUUCUGAUUUGUUAAUAUCAGAGGUCUCACUUCAUAGACUAAUUAAAUCUUAAUUAUUUUGUAACAUCUUAUUUAACAAAAUUUGUUCUGCCUUCUACCUAUGUUUUUCUUUUUAGAGCAGUCUGGUUUUUUUGUUUGUUUGUUUGUUUUGUUUGUUUGUUUUUCUUUUUCUUUUUUCUUUUGGUACCAGUGAUUG